UAAUACGUAGGGACCGAGCGUUGUCCGGAUUCAUUGGGCGUAAAGAGCUCGUAGGCGGCCACUCAAGUCGAAUGUGAAACCUCGAGGCUUAACCUCGAGCCUGCAUUCGAUACUGGGCGGCUAGAGUCUGGUAGGGGGAUCUGGAAUUCCUGGUGUAGCGGUGGAAUGCGCAGAUAUUAGGAGGAACACCGGUGGCGAAGGCGCCGCUCUGGGCCGAAACUGACGCUGAGGAGCGAAAGCAUGGGUAGCAAACAGGAUUAGAUACCCUGGUAGUCCAUGCCGUAAACGUUGGGCACUAGGUGUGGGUUCCAACCAACGGAAUCCGCGCCGUCGCUAACGCAUUAAGUGCCCCGCCUGGGGAGUACGGCCGCAAGGUUA
rnacentral:rRNA from 1 species